UGGGGACAUUGUCCCUCUAUCCUUCCGCGGCCACUGUACAAGAAUUGGGGCUUAAGUAAGUAACCAAAUUGCAGCCUAAAUAAAAAAUAAAGUGAGCAAAAUAUCAAACUAAAAUGCAAUCUAUCAUCAUUCUUAUUCUCCUCUCUUUAAUCCUUUCCUUCGCUUUUUCGCCUUCGUACAUCGUACUUGGUAUACAAAUGUUCAUGUCAUUGACAAAAGGUUUUAAUUUUUUUAUACAUCUAUCUGCACAACGCAAUCUUAAAUGUGACGUGAUGUUGGGUUAAAGAAAGGGAGGAAAAAAAUGAUGGUUCUUGAAGUUGAAAUAACACAUGCUGUAGAUAAAAGCAUUUGUCAUUUAGAGUGCAUGACGUGGAUGUUUUGAAACUUGUGUAUUUUUCUAAACUUUAAGACCAAGCAGGUUAUAUGCGAUUGGACGAAGGUGUCAUUGGACCGACUUAUGGGCAGACACAGGUUAUCUAUGCGAUUGAACGAAGGGGGUAAAAAACAUUUUAAAAAAUAUUUUAAGGCGUCAUGGACCGACUUAUGCAUGGACAGACAAUGGUGAUUAUUUGAUUAAUGUAAUGUAUGCGACCUUUACUCGGUCAAUCAAUAUAUUGGUUUUUAAGACAUAGAUAAUUAAUUAAAUAAAGCCUACUUUUGAAAGGUUAAAACAUUUCCAAAUCGGUAAAUCGUGUCAAAUUAAUAAAUCAUAAAGUUUUGAAAAUCCUUAUGUAUGUAUCGUUCUAAAGUCCAAUUAUUGAUAAGCAGUUCCUCAUUUCAAGCCAACAUUUAUUUACAUAUUUAUGUAUGGUCGUCGGAUGUGUGCCUCCUGAAUUUAUAAUUGGAGAGAGAAAGUCGCCCACGGAUUGGCAUACGUAAUUUGCCCAGUUCUUAUCAAGAACAGACCCACCAUGAUAAAAUCUCAAGUUGCAUAUGCAAUGAUGCAGGUGCAAGUAUUUUGCACUUGUUGUGAUUAAUUUCUGGGAAAUGAUUGUUAUUAUGUACUUAUCAGGGAACUGUUCAGUCAGUCAAAAAAAAGAUAACCUCUACAGAUAACCUUUAUGUACUGUAUGUACUUGGAUGUUACUUUCUCAAUAAUAUUUACUGGGUCUUUUCCCUGUUUGUGGAUUAUAUUAUUGUAAUCUCCUAAUUAACAUCGCGACAUCUUAUUCUACAGAAAGAAAUAUGGAAUACACAUGGAUGGAAACUUUCAGAAACUUUUUACCGAUUUAUACAUACAUAUUUUUUCGCAGUGUCCUUGUUUACUUCAUUCACUCGUGGCACAGAGCUAAGCCAAAGCUAAUCUUAUCUUAUCAAAAUCGCCAUUUAAUUCCUGUACCACGGCAAGGAGCGAAGUCAACAAUUCCAUAAAACCUUUGCCACACCACCAUUCACAACAAUAAGAAAAACAGAAAAACAGAUAAAUUAGCUGGUCUGGUUUGACGUGACAUUAGAGAAAAACAAGAGAGAAGAGAAUGGGAGAAAAACACGUCAAAAUUCUGACACGACCACGCUAAACAAAACUGCAACCUUAUAAUUAAACCAAAUGUGAUGCAUAUAAUAAUUCC